GCGGGUGUAGUUCAAUGGUAUAACGCAAGCCCAAGCUUGACACGAGGGUUCAAUUCCCUUCACCCGCUCCA
rnacentral:tRNA from 3 species